rnacentral:rRNA from 1 species
AUUGAACGCUGGCGGCAGGCCUAACACAUGCAAGUCGAACGAGUGGCGGACGGGUGAGUAAUGUCUGGGAAACUGCCUGAUGGAGGGGGAUAACUACUGGAAACGGUAGCUAAUACCGCAUACCAUCGGAUGUGCCCAGAUGGGAUUAGCUAGGAGGUGGGGUAAAGGCUCACCUAGGCGACGAUCCCUAGCUGGUCUGAGAGGAUGACAAGCCACACUGGAGUGGAGACACGAUCCAGACCCCUACGGGAUGCAGCAGUGGGGAAUAUUGAACAAGGGGAGCAAGCCUGAUGCAGCCAUGCAGCGUGUAUGAAGAAGGCCUUCGGGUUGUAAAGUACUUUCAGCGGGGAGGCGUUACCCGCAGAAGAAGCACCGGCUAACUCCGUGCCAGCAGCCGCGGUAAUAC